rnacentral:tRNA from 1 species
GCAGUGGUGAUUCAGUGAUAGAAUCCUUGCCUUUCAAACGGGAGACCUGGGUUUGAUUCCCAGCCAAUUCA